rnacentral:rRNA from 1 species
GCGUGCCUAAUACAUGCAAGUAGAACGCUGAAGGAGGAGCUUGCUUCUCUGGAUGAGUUGCGAACGGGUGAGUAACGCGUAGGUAACCUGCCUGGUAGCGGGGGAUAACUAUUGGAAACGAUAGCUAAUACCGCAUAAGAGUAGAUGUUGCAUGACAUUUGCUUAAAAGGUGCACUUGCAUCACUACCAGAUGGACCUGCGUUGUAUUAGCUAGUUGGUGGGGUAACGGCUCACCAAGGCGACGAUACAUAGCCGACCUGAGAGGGUGAUCGGCCACACUGGGACUGAGACACGGCCCAGACUCCUACGGGAGGCAGCAGUAGGGAAUCUUCGGCAAUGGACGGAAGUCUGACCGAGCAACGCCGCGUGAGUGAAGAAGGUUUUCGGAUCGUAAAGCUCUGUUGUAAGAGAAGAACGAGUGUGAGAGUGGAAAGUUCACACUGUGACGGUAUCUUACCAGAAAGGGACGGCUAACUACGUGCCAGCAGCCGCGGUAAUACGUAGGUCCCGAGCGUUGUCCGGAUUUAUUGGGCGUAAAGCGAGCGCAGGCGGUUAGAUAAGUCUGAAGUUAAAGGCUGUGGCUUAACCAUAGUAGGCUUUGGAAACUGUUUAACUUGAGUGCAAGAGGGGAGAGUGGAAUUCCAUGUGUAGCGGUGAAAUGCGUAGAUAUAUGGAGGAACACCGGUGGCGAAAGCGGCUCUCUGGCUUGUAACUGACGCUGAGGCUC